rnacentral:rRNA from 1 species
UACGGGGGGAGCAAGCGUUGUUCGGAUUUACUGGGCGUAAAGGGCGCGUAGGCGGUCAGCACAAGUCAGUUGUGAAAUCUCCGGGCUUAACUCGGAAAGGUCAACUGAUACUGUGCGACUAGAGUGCAGAAGGGGCAACUGGAAUUCUCGGUGUAGCGGUGAAAUGCGUAGAUAUCGAGAGGAACACCUGCGGCGAAGGCGGGUAGCUGGGCCGACACUGACGCUGAGGCGCGAAAGCGUGGGGAGCGAACAGG